rnacentral:rRNA from 1 species
UACGUAGGGCGCAAGCGUUGUCCGGAAUUAUUGGGCGUAAAGAGCUCGUAGGCGGCCUGUUGCGUCCGCUGUGAAAUCCCGGGGCUCAACCCCGGGCCUGCAGUGGAUACGGGCUGGCUGGAGGCAGGCAGGGGAGAACGGAAUUCCUGGUGUAGCGGUGAAAUGCGCAGAUAUCAGGAAGAACACCCGUGGCUAAGGCGGCUCUCUAGUACGGUACUGACGCUGAGACGCGAAAGCGUGGGGAGCGAACAGG